UACGUAGGGGGCAAGCGUUGUCCGGAUUUAUUGGGCGUAAAGAGCGUGUAGGCGGCCUGGAAGGUCAGCUGUGAAAACUCGAGGCUCAACCUCGAGACGUCGGUUGAAACCACCUGGCUAGAGUCCGGAAGAGGAGAGUGGAAUUCCCGGUGUAGCGGUGAAAUGCGUAGAUAUGUGGAGGAACACCGAUGGCGAAGGCAGCCUUCUGGGCCAACACUGACGCUCAUGCACGAAAGCGUGGGGAGCAAACAGG
rnacentral:rRNA from 1 species